ensembl:antisense Gm7568 predicted gene 7568
AGAGGCAUGUAUGUGUUAAGGGAAAGAGGCCCUGGGAGCCAGGAAUGCAGGGCAGAUCAGAGCGAGCCAAACCAGGAAUGGAAGUUCUCACAGUCACUACUGAGCCCAGGGACAGACCAAGGUAAUCUACGGCUUUUCUGUGGCUAUUCCCUUGCUUAGAUGGCUCUUUUCUCCAGUCUUCGCCUGAAAAGGAAAAGCACUACCCGUGACUUAAGAUCCAGCUAAGCUGUCACCUCUUCCCUGAAACACCCCCUCAUCCCCUCGGAUCAUUCACACAGGUCAGCAUGGUGCAUCACUUUGUUCCUCUUCUCAGAAGCGCUGCCAACCCAGGGUCGUCCCAAGCCCAGUUUAUAUCGUCAAGGUCCUCAGCGUCUUAGAACAGUGUCUUAUUAAAAUACUCUGUGUCUGGAAGACA